rfam:Chlamydotis undulata macqueenii contig19494, whole genome shotgun sequence.
CCAAAGGCUCUUUUCAGAGCCACCCACAUCCUCGGAAAAGAGUUGU